GAGAUCCAAUAAUAAUGCCAACGCUAAUUUAGAUGUCGCCCCAAUCUUCAUGCUGCCUCGUAGUCGUAGGCCAGCGAAUACAGAUCACUAAUAGAAGGAUGAAGAUAUGGUUAUUGUUUCAGUAUAGGGAAAUGGGGUUUCAAAUGCUGUGAUUGGCUGACGGUUUUUAUGGGCAUCCGCCCAUAAAAACAGGGCCGUGGCACAACUCAAUUUUUCCCAAUCUCAAUUUCCCCAUUACUUGGAAAUCUCACUCCUUUCUUGGAACCAAAAUCAGGUGUCUCCUUUACCAUCAUUCUUGCUGCCAAACUCGGAAAAGCUGAGUAAUUAAAAGAUUAUUUAAUAUCCUACAAAUUAAUUUUCUGACAUCCACUCAAUUACAUAAAUCGCUUCAACUCACCACAAGUUAAGCUCUAAGCUUCAACUCUCGGUAACUGCUAAGGACAAUUUUUCAUCCAUUAAUUUUGCGACCUCUCUGCCGUGCCCCCACCAGAAAUCUGUGUCAUCGCCGGCCAGCCUGGUAAAUAACAACUUUAACUGGAUUCUGCAACAAUAAGGACCAAGGAACUUGUAUUUCGUAAUGCACUAUAUUUUAUUGAAGUAUAGACUCAUCAAUUACCAUUAGUUGUUGUUCGUGACCUGGUAACAGUGUGAAAUUGUCGGAAACUUCGUUAAAGUUUUACAAGAUUCAAAAAUAGUUUCUCAUAUAAUGAACGGUGAAUACACAUAUAUGUACAAUCAUGUAUGGUGAAAACACGCUCAUUGUUGGAAAUUAAGUUCCACUAAAUUUAUUUUUGUGAAUUGCAGAUAUAAUAUUUGUGCCCAUUGUUACUCAAUAUUGUGACCUAUUGCCCCUUCCUCCACCAGAUCCGUGUCUCCACCGGUCAAUUUAUCUGAUCUAUCAGUGUGCGUUUAUACAAAGCAAAUUCAAACUAUAUCUUCACACCCACUCUUUCGCUACCAAUGAGCAGUCGAUAACUAAAAUGUAUCAAUUUUAUUACAGGUUCACCUAUUUGGCCAAACAAGGGUACUUAAAUAAUGUGACUUUGUCAAGACUAUUAAAAAACUUUCAAAACUUCGCUUAAGGUAAAUUUUAUUUUGAUCUUAAAAAUAGUUUCUUUCCUCUAGAAUUAAAAGAAUAAUGAACGGUGGAGACACAUUAAUAUGGUGGAAACACGUUCAUUAUUGCAAGCAACUGUUACAUCAAUAUUUCCUUGUUAUUUUGUUUAAUUACAGACUCAUCAAUUACUAUGAGAUAUUGUUCGUGACUCGGGAAUAGUGUGAAAUUCUCAGGAACUUCAGUAAAGUUUACCAGGUUCAACCAUAAUAUUAAAAUAAUAGUUUCUUAUCUCCAAAAAUUAAAAAAACAACGAACGGUGGACACACACAUGUAUAUGGUGGAAACACGUUCAUUUUAAUUACUGAUUCGCCUUCAUGUACUCAAAUUCAGUGUGACUUUAUCAAAACCUUCUUCAAAAUCUUCUUAAAAUAAACAACUAACGGUGGAGACACAUAAAUAUGGUGAAAACACGUUAUUUGUUUCAAGCAGGUUUCAAAUUACUAAUUGCUUGUUAUUUUUCGCAGGAAAUCCAGUUGCUCAAAACAUUUAUUUGAAUUUAAUAAACCGUCGUUUGUCACGGUCCGAAAUAUAAAGUGUUGCGGUACUAAUUGUGAUAAUUCUUGAAACCAAGAAAAUCGUAAUUACUCCUUUCUGCCAAAGCGUCAGGUUCCAGCAGUGGUGUAAAAUUCUCGACAUCGAUAAGGAAAACGUAUCACCUAAAACUGUCGUUUGCAGCAAACACUUUUAGCCACCUUCAAGAAAUUUCUCAAAGAGUUUUACCGACCUCUCCACCCCAUUUGUGUCUUCACCAUUGUCUGUGUCUCCACCGAAAGGGGGGUGGGUUAAUUUAUCCUUUAUAUGAACAAGAAGAUAAAGAUUAGAAAUAAGUUUCACUACAGUUUGAAGUAGAAGAACCAGAACCACAUUCAACUGUUUCCAUUUUCCUUAUAUACUCAAGGCACGAAAAUUAUUGCUACUAUUUAUAAUAAAAUAUUUUGCAACCGGGAAAUUAUUUCGAUGUUUGGUUAUUACGACAAAGUUGUUUUUAUUCGUGAAGAUGCAUUAUUAAAUCUAUAAACAACAAAGAUGUCUUAUUCACAUUAGAUAACAAUUGCUUCAAUAUAUCAAUAUCAAUAUUGCCGGUGGAUACACACUUUCAGUGGUGACAACACGGCGGUGGAGUAUAUUUUUUUAGUUGUUAUUUAGACGUUUGUCAAACGUAAAGUUAGUAAAAUUGUAUUUAUGCUAAAUCAAUUUUUGUUGCAAUAAAUUUGGUUGUAAAUCUGCA